rnacentral:rRNA from 1 species
UACAGGGGGGGCAAGCGUUGUUCGGAAUUACUGGGUCGUAAAGGGCUCGUAGGUGGCCGACUAAGUCAGACGUGAAAUCCCGUCAGCUUAACUGGGGACUGCGUCGUGAUACUGGAUGCGUUGAGUUUGGGAGAGGGAUGCGGAAUUCCAGGUGUAGCGGUGAAAUGCGUAGAUAUCUGGAGGAACACCGGUGGCGAAGGCGGCAUCCUGGACCAACACUAGACACUGAGGAGCGAAAGCCAGGGGAGCAAACGGG